rnacentral:rRNA from 1 species
GUGGAUUAGAUACCCUGGUAGUCCACGCCGUAAACGAUGAGAACUAGCCGUUGGAUCCCUUGAGGGUUUAGUGGCGAAGCUAACGCGAUAAGUUCUCCGCCUGGGGAGUACGGCCGCAAGGUUAAAACUCAAAUGAAUUGACGGGGGCCCGCACAAGCGGUGGAGCAUGUUGUUUAAUUCGAUGCAACGCGAAGAACCUUACCGCCCCUUGACAUCCUCGGAACUUGUCAGAGAUGCCUUGGUGCCUUCGGGAACCGAGUGACAGGUGCUGCAUGGUUGUCGCCAGCU